GAGUUUGAUCCUGGCUCAGGACGAACGCUGGCGGCGUGCUUAACACAUGCAAGUCGAACGGAAAGGCCCUUCGGGGUACUCGAGUGGCGAACGGGUGAGUAACACGUGGGUGAUCUGCCCUGCACUUUGGGAUAAGCCUGGGAAACUGGGUCUAAUACCGAAUAGGACCACGCGCUUCAUGGUGUGUGGUGGAAAGCUUUUGCGGUGUGGGAUGGGCCCGCGGCCUAUCAGCUUGUUGGUGGGGUAAUGGCCUACCAAGGCGACGACGGGUAGCCGGCCUGAGAGGGUGACCGGCCACACUGGGACUGAGAUACGGCCCAGACUCCUACGGGAGGCAGCAGUGGGGAAUAUUGCACAAUGGGCGCAAGCCUGAUGCAGCGACGCCGCGUGAGGGAUGACGGCCUUCGGGUUGUAAACCUCUUUCAMYAGGGACGAAGCGURAGUGACGGUACCUGGAGAAGAAGCACCGGCCAACUACGUGCCAGCAGCCGCGGUAAUACGUAGGGUGCGAGCGUUGUCCGGAAUUACUGGGCGUAAAGAGCUCGUAGGUGGUUUGUCGCGUUGUUCGUGAAAACUCACAGCUUAACUGUGGGCGUGCGGGCGAUACGGGCAGACUAGAGUACUGCAGGGGAGACUGGAAUUCCUGGUGUAGCGGUGGAAUGCGCAGAUAUCAGGAGGAACACCGGUGGCGAAGGCGGGUCUCUGGGCAGUAACUGACGCUGAGGAGCGAAAGCGUGGGGAGCGAACAGGAUUAGAUACCCUGGUAGUCCACGCCGUAAACGGUGGGUACUAGGUGUGGGUUCCUUCCUUGGGAUCCGUGCCGUAGCUAACGCAUUAAGUACCCCGCCUGGGGAGUACGGCCGCAAGGCUAAAACUCAAAGGAAUUGACGGGGGCCCGCACAAGCGGCGGAGCAUGUGGAUUAAUUCGAUGCAACGCGAAGAACCUUACCUGGGUUUGACAUGCACAGGACGCCGGCAGAGAUGUCGGUUCCCUUGUGGCCUGUGUGCAGGUGGUGCAUGGCUGUCGUCAGCUCGUGUCGUGAGAUGUUGGGUUAAGUCCCGCAACGAGCGCAACCCUUGUCCUAUGUUGCCAGCGGGUUAUGCCGGGGACUCGUAGGAGACUGCCGGGGUCAACUCGGAGGAAGGUGGGGAUGACGUCAAGUCAUCAUGCCCCUUAUGUCCAGGGCUUCACACAUGCUACAAUGGCCGGUACAAAGGGCUGCGAUGCCGUGAGGUGGAGCGAAUCCUUUCAAAGCCGGUCUCAGUUCGGAUCGGGGUCUGCAACUCGACCCCGUGAAGUCGGAGUCGCUAGUAAUCGCAGAUCAGCAACGCUGCGGUGAAUACGUUCCCGGGCCUUGUACACACCGCCCGUCACGUCAUGAAAGUCGGUAACACCCGAAGCCGGUGGCCUAACCCUUGUGGAGGGAGCCGUCGAAGGUGGGAUCGGCGAUUGGGACGAAGUCGUAACAAGGUAGCC
rnacentral:rRNA from 1 species